GAUCUAGCUUGCUAGAUGCUGACGAGUGGCGCACGGGUGCGUAACGCGUAUACAAUCUACCUUUAACUGAGGGAUAGCCCAGAGAAAUUUGGAUUAAUACCUCAUAGUAUUAUAAUUAGGCAUCUUUUUAUAAUUAAAACUUCGGUGGUUAAAGAUGAGUAUGCGUACUAUUAGCUAGUUGGUAAGGUAAAAGCUUACCAAGGCAACGAUAGUUAGGGGGCCUGAAAGGGUGAUCCCCCACACUGGUACUGAGACACGGACCAGACUCCUACGGGAGGCAGCAGUGAGGAAUAUUGCACAAUGGAGGAAACUCUGAUGCAGCCAUGCCGCGUGCAGGAAGAAUGCCCUAUGGGUUGUAAACUGCUUUUAUACAAGAAGAAACCUCAGUACGUGUACUGACUUGACGGUAUUGUAUGAAUAAGCACCGGCUAACUCCGUGCCAGCAGCCGCGGUAAUACGGAGGGUGCAAGCGUUAUCCGGAUUUAUUAGGUUUAAAGGGUCCGCAGGCGGAAUAUUAAGUCAGUGGUGAAA
rnacentral:rRNA from 1 species